AUUAUAAUGGCAGAUUAGUGCAUUAGAUUUAAAAUCUAAAAAUGGAGACCUUCUCCUUUUAAUA
rnacentral:tRNA from 1 species